rnacentral:lncRNA from 1 species
UAAGUGGAUGCUCAUUAUAACUACAGACCAUUUUAUCAACUCAAACCUUAGAAUUAAAUGAACAAUGAGUUACAAAUUAAGUGGUUCUCAAAUCAUUCAAUUGAACUACUAUUUCCAUGGUCCAUCCUUUCCUGCUUCAAUUAGUUGCAAAUGAUGGUAUCAUAUCAAUAUGAUCCAGAUGUUUUCUCGGCAGUUGGUCAGUCACAUAUAACCAUUUAGGGAAGAUACAUGGGAAAACGUAUCUAUGCAAUGCAAGUAUAUAAAUCAAAUGCUAAGAUUCAUAUCCACAUUUGUUUUAAACAGAUACGAUUACAAAUUGGACAUUGACAGUAAAAAUAAAUCAUAUACUUUAACUUUAUAAACCACUAAAUCUAAGAUAUUAUUCUAUGAAAGAUAAUUAAGUUAAGACAUGUUAAUAUUGUAACUUAUUUUCCUUCAAAGUUCAUGAGAGUUGUAUAAGAUUAAAAACAAUUGCAAACAAAACCAGAUAUUCGGAAACAAAUUGAUAAUCUUAUAUUCGUAUUCAUAUUUGCUUUUCUUUAACAGAUAUAGAUACAGAUAUAAAUAUUAGUCAGAUACUGAAAUUUGUACUCAAAUCUGAAUAUAUUUGGAUACAUAAAU